rnacentral:rRNA from 1 species
AGGAUAGGCGAAGCGUGCUGUUGGAGUGCACGUCCAAGCAGUAAGGCUGAGUGUUAGGCAAAUCCGGCACUCAUAAGGCUGAGCUGUGAUGGGGAGAGGAAAUUGUUUCCUCGAGUCGUUGAUUUCACACUGCCGAGAAAAGCCUCUAGAUAGAUAACAGGUGCCCGUACCGCAAACCGACACAGGUAGUCAAGAUGAGAAUUCUAAGGUGAGCGAGCGAACUCUCGUUAAGGAACUCGGCAAAAUGACCCCGUAACUUCGGGAGAAGGGGUGCUCUUUAGGGUUCACGCCCAGAAGAGCCGCAGUGAAUAGGCCCAAGCGACUGUUUAUCAAAAACACAGGUCUCUGCUAAACCGUAAGGUGAUGUAUAGGGGCUGACGCCUGCCCGGUGCUGGAAGGUUAAGAGGAGUGGUUAGCUUCUGCGAAGCUACGAAUCGAAGCCCCAGUAAACGGCGGCCGUAACUAUAACGGUCCUAAGGUAGCGAAAUUCCUUGUCGGGUAAGUUCCGACCCGCACGAAAGGCGUAACGAUUUGGGCACUGUCUCAACGAGAGACUCGGUGAAAUCAUAGUACCUGUGAAGAUGCAGGUUACCCGCGACAGGACGGAAAGACCCCGUGGAGCUUUACUGUAGCCUGAUAUUGAAAUUCGGCACAGCUUGUACAGGAUAGGUAGGAGCCUUUGAAACGUGAGCGCUAGCUUACGUGGAGGCGUUGGUGGGAUACUACCCUAGCUGUGUUGGCUUUCUAACCCGCACCACUUAUCGUGGUGGGAGACAGUGUCAGGCGGGCAGUUUGACUGGGGCGGUCGCCUCCUAAAAGGUAACGGAGGCGCUCAAAGGUUCCCUCAGAAUGGUUGGAAAUCAUUCAUAGAGUGUAAAGGCAUAAGGGAGCUUGACUGCGAGACCUACAAGUCGAGCAGGGUCGAAAGACGGACUUAGUGAUCCGGUGGUUCCGCAUGGAAGGGCCAUCGCUCAACGGAUAAAAGCUACCCCGGGGAUAACAGGCUUAUCUCCCCCAAGAGUUCACAUCGACGGGGAGGUUUGGCACCUCGAUGUCGGCUCAUCGCAUCCUGGGGCUGUAGUCGGUCCCAAGGGUUGGGCUGUUCGCCCAUUAAAGCGGUACGCGAGCUGGGUUCAGAACGUCGUGAGACAGUUCGGUCCCUAUCCGUCGUGGGCGUAGGAAAUUUGAGAGGAGCUGUCCUUAGUACGAGAGGACCGGGAUGGACAUACCUCUGGUGUACCAGUUGUCGUGCCAACGGCAUAGCUGGGUAGCUAUGUAUGGACGGGAUAAGUGCUGAAAGCAUCUAAGCAUGAAGCCCCCCUCAAGAUGAGAUUUCCCAACUUCGGUUAUAAGAUCCCUCGAAGAUGACGAGGUUAAUAGGUUCGAGGUGGAAGCGUGGUGACACGUGGAGCUGACGAAUACUAAUCGAUCGAAGACUUAAUCAA